GUGUUGCUAUGGUAUCUGGGGUGGUUGCUAAGGUGUUUCUAAGUGGUUGCUAGGUGGUUGCUAAGGUGUUGCUAUGGUAUCUGGGGUGGUUGCUAAGGUGUUUCUAGGUGGUUGCUAGGUGGUUGCUAAGGUGUUGCUAUGGUAUCCGGGGUGGUUGCUAAGAUGUUGCUAGGUGGUUGCUAAGGUGUUUCUAUGGUAUCUGGGGUGGUUGCUAAGGUGUUUCUAGGUGGUUGCUAGGUGGUUGCUAAGGUGUUGCUAUGGUAUCUGGGGUGGUUGCUAAGGUGUUUCUAGGUGGUUGCUAGGUGGUUGCUAAGGUGUUGCUAUGGUAUCUGGGGUGGUUGCUAAGGUGUUGCUAGGUGGUUGUUAGGCGGUUGCUAUCAUUUCUAAAGUGUUUGCUAAGUGGUUGCUAGGCAGUUGCUAACGUUUUCCUAAUGGUUGCUAAGGUGUUGGUAAGUGGUUGCUAGGCUGUUGCUAUCAUUUCUAAAGUGGUUGCUAGGCAGUUGCUAUCGUUUCUAAGGUGGUUGCUAAGUGGUUGCUAACGUUUUCCUAGUGGUUGUUAAGGUGUUGCUAAGUGGUUGCUAGGCAGUUGCUGAUGUUUUCCAGGUGUUUGCUAAGUGGUUGCUAACUGGUUGCUAGGCAGUUGCUAUAAUUUCUAAAGUGGUUGCUAAGUUGUUGCUAAGUGGUUGCUAGGCAGUUGCUAACGUUUUCCAGGUGGUUGCUAAGGUGUUGCUAAGUGGUUGCUAGGCAGUUGCUAACGUUUUCCAGGUGGUUGCUAAGCAGUUAAUAGGUGGUUGCUAACACCUGGCUGGGGUGCCGGGGUGUCCAAACUUUUGACUGAUAGCUGCUCCAUACAGCAGCUCCUCCAUACACUCACAGUACUGGAGGAGCAGGGGAGAGAAGGGGUUCCGUGCGCAGAGCUGCUCGUGUGUGAGAUGGAACUCUGGGCCCCCCAUUCAUUUCUAUGGGAAAACUUUGUACGACAAUUGUACGAAAACCGUACGUCGUAUCACUUCGCAACCUCCUAUUAAUUUAAAGAUCUCGAUAAGAUCUAUAAGCUCGCCGAAUUUGGUGUUCGUAUCUCAAAAAUUGUGGCAGUUACGGACGUUUAAAAUUUGGCCCCAUUCAUUCCUAUGGGAAAAAAAUGCGUACGUUUACAAAGUUUUUACGAAAACCGUACGAUAUAUCGCUUCAAAAAGCACAAGCAACCUGAACCGCUAUAGGUACUACGAUACUGUAAAAAAGC